AGCCAGUUGGCGGGGUAACGGCCCACCAAAGCGACGAUCAGUAGCCGGCCUGAGAGGGUGAACGGCCACAUUGGGACUGAGACACGGCCCAAACUCCUACGGGAGGCAGCAGUGGGGAAUAUUGCACAAUGGGGGAAACCCUGAUGCAGCGACGCCGCGUGAGUGAAGAAGUAUUUCGGUAUGUAAAGCUCUAUCAGCAGGGAAGAAAGUGACGGUACCUGAAUAAGAAGCCCCGGCUAACUACGUGCCAGCAGCCGCGGUAAUACGUAGGGGGCAAGCGUUAUCCGGAUUUACUGGGUGUAAAGGGAGCGUAGACGGCAAGGCAAGUCUGAAGUGAAAGCCCGGUGCUUAACGCCGGGACUGCUUUGGAAACUGUUUAGCUGGAGUGCCGGAGAGGUAAGCGGAAUUCCUAGUGUAGCGGUGAAAUGCGUAGAUAUUAGGAAGAACACCAGUGGCGAAGGCGGCUUACUGGACGGUAACUGACGUUGAGGCUCGAAAGCGUGGGGAGCAAACAGGAUUAGAUACCCUGGUAGUCCACGCCGUAAACGAUGAUUGCUAGGUGUAGGUGGGUAUGGACCCAUCGGUGCCGCAGCUAACGCAAUAAGCAAUCCACCUGGGGAGUACGUUCGCAAGAAUGAAACUCAGAGGAAUUGACGGGGACCCGCACAAGCGGUGGAGCAUGUGGUUUAAUUCGAAGCAUCGCGAAGAACCUUACCAGGUCUUGACAUCCCGAUGAAAAACCCGUAACGGGGUUCCCUCUUCGGAGCAUCGGAGACAGGUGGUGCAUGGUUGUCGUCAGCUCGUGUCGUGAGAUGUUGGGUUAAGUCCCGCAACGAGCGCAACCCUUAUUCUUAGUAGCCAGCAGGUAAGGCUGGGCACUCUAAGGAGACUGCCGGGGAUAACCCGGAGGAAGGUGGGGAUGACGUCAAAUCAUCAUGCCCCUUAUGAUCUGGGCUACACACGUGCUACAAUGGCGUAACAAAGGGAAGCGAGCCUGCGAGGGUGAGCAAAUCCCAAAAAUAACGUCCCAGUUCGGACUGUAGUCUGCAACCCGACUACACGAAGCUGGAAUCGCUAGUAAUCGCGAAUCAGAAUGUCGCGGUGAAUACGUUCCCGGGUCUUGUACACACCGCCCGUCACACCAUGGGAGUCGGAAAUGCCCGAAGUCUGUGACUCAACCGCAAGGAGAGAGCAGCCGAAGGCAGGUCUGAUAACUGGGGUGAAGUCGUAACAAGGUAGCCGUAC
rnacentral:rRNA from 1 species